ACGGAUCUGUAGCAAUACAGAUUAGUGGCGGAAGGGUUAGGAAUACAUGGGUAACUUACCUCUGACUCUGGGAUAACGAUUGGAAACGAUCGCUAAUACUGGAUAUGGUGAACUGAAGGAUUCUUUAGUUUAUUAAAGUAGGGGAUCGCAAGACCUUGCGGUUAGAGAGAGGCCCAUGCGAUAUCAGCUAGUUGGUGAGGUAAUGGCUCACCAAGGCUAAGACGUCUAGGCGGAUUGAGAGAUUGA
rnacentral:rRNA from 1 species